rnacentral:rRNA from 1 species
AUUGAACGCCGGCGGCAGGCUUAACACAUGCAAGUCGAGCGAGCGGCGGACGGGUGAGUAAUGUCUGGGAACCUGCCUGAUGGAGGGGUAUAACUACUGGAAACGUUAGCUAAUACCGCAUACCAUCAGAUGUGCCCAGAUGGGAUUAGCUGGUUGGUGGGGUAAGGGCUCACCUAGGCGACGAUCCUUAGCUGGUCUGAGAGGAUGACCAGCCAAACUGGAACUGAGACACGGUCCAGACUCCUACGGGAGGCAGCAGUGGGGAAUAUUGCACAAUGGGCGCAAGCCUGAUGCAGCCAUGCCGCGUGUGUGAAGAAGGCCUUCGGGUUGUAAAGGACUUUCAGCGGGGAGGCGUUACCCGCAGAAGAAGCACCGGCUAACUCCGUGCCAGCAGCCGCGGUAAUAC